rnacentral:rRNA from 1 species
AUUGAACGCUGGCGGCAUGCCUAACACAUGCAAGUCGAGCGGGGGAAGGUAGCUUGCUACCGGACCUAGCGGCGGACGGGUGAGUAAUGCUUAGGAAUCUGCCUAUUAGUGGGGGACAACAUCUCGAAAGGGAUGCUAAUACCGCAUACGUCAUACGGGAGAAAGCAGGGGAUCUUCGGACCUUGCGCUAAUAGAUGAGCCUAAGUCGGAUUAGCUAGUUGGUGGGGUAAAGGCCUACCAAGGCGACGAUCUGUAGCGGGCCUGAGAGGGUGUUCCGCCACACUGGGACUGAGACACGGCACAGACUCCGACGAGAGGCAGCAGUGGGGAAUAUGGGACAAUGGGGGUAACCCUGAUCCAUCCAUGCGGCGUGUGUGAAGAGGGCCUUAUGGUUGUAAAGCACUUUAAGCGAGGAGGAGGCUACUUUAGUUAAUACCUAGAGAUAGUGGACGUUACUCGCAGAAUAAGCACCGGCUAACUCUGUGCCAGCAGCCGCCGUAA